UCCAGACUCCUACGGGAGGCAGCAGUGGGGAAUAUUGCACAAUGGGGGAAACCCUGAUGCAGCGACGCCGCGUGAGUGAAGAAGUAUUUCGGUAUGUAAAGCUCUAUCAGCAGGGAAGAAAAUGACGGUACCUGAUUAAGAAGCCCCGGCUAACUACGUGCCAGCAGCCGCGGUAAUACGUAGGGGGCGAGCGUUAUCCGGAUUUACUGGGUGUAAAGGGAGCGUAGACGGUUAAUCAAGUCUGAAGUGAAAGCCCGCGGCUCAACUGCGGAACGGCUUUGGAAACUGAGUAACUGGAGUGCUGGAGGGGCAGGCGGAAUUCCUGGUGUAGCGGUGAAAUGCGUAGAUAUCAGGAGGAACACCGGUGGCGAAGGCGGCCUGCUGGACAGUAACUGACGUUGAGGCUCGAAAGCGUGGGGAGCAAACAGGAUUAGAUACCCGAGUA
rnacentral:rRNA from 1 species